CCUCCCUCUCACUCCUCCAGCCAGUAAAUCCGAUCUAGGCUGAUUCCUCCUCACGUCAAACCACAUGAUCCCAUAAAACAUUCAUCGCCUCUCCAGCCCUGCGCCCCGCUCGCUCGCUCCCGGGAUACGGUGCAAGGAGGCUCCGCGCUCCCCGCCGCCGCGGGAGCCGCCGCAGCCUCGGCCCCGAGCGGGCGGCGGGCGGGAGGGAGGAAGGAAGGAAGGAAGGAAGGAAGGAAGGAAGGACGGAGGGAGGAGGCAGGCAGGCGGACAGGGAGGGGGAGCCUCGCCUGGAUGCUGACUCCAGCUCGGGGGCUGCUCAUUCCCCCGAUGAGCGAGGGCGCCGGCACAGGGAGAGCCCCCUCCCCGUGCGCCGCCGCCGCUCCGCGCUCGGGCUGAAGUUUCGGACGAGGAUCUGCCCCGCUUUCGCAAGGAUUGUACCGCGGCCGCUCGACUUUGCGCCUCCAGACGUGCCUUCCCCGACCCCUAAGAUGAAGAGGGCGAUAGCUGAAGGAAGGAAACUGCUGAUUUUGGUGCUUUGCUUGAACAUCCAGUCAGAAGUGGAGUCUUGCCCCGGGGCGUGUGUAUGCUACAGUGAACCGAAGAUUACAAUAAGUUGUCAGCAGCAAGGACUGACAGUAAUCCCCACUGAGAUACCCAUCCAGAGCCAGCGCAUCUUCUUGCACAACAACAAGAUAACCCUUGUGAGGUCCACCAGCUUCACCUCCUGCCGCAACAUGACGAUUCUUUGGAUCCACUCCAACAACAUCAGCCUCAUUGAGCCUGGAGCCUUUUAUGGGCUCAACAAACUGGAGGAGUUAGAUCUCAGUGACAACACGAACCUGAAAUCUAUCAACCCUGUCACCUUCCGGGGUCUUGUUCACCUCCACACCUUACACCUGGAUCGCUGUGGGCUCCUGGAGCUCUCCACAGGGCUUUUCCGAGGGUUGUUCUCCUUGCAAUAUCUCUACCUUCAGGAUAAUAAGCUACAGAACCUGCUGGAUGACACCUUCGUAGAUCUUGCAAACCUCACCUACCUGUUUUUGCAUGGUAACAAAAUCAAAAGCUUGUCAGAGAAUGUCUUUCGCGGGCUAAUCAACCUUGACCGGCUGCUUCUGCACCAGAACAGAGUCAGCCUGGUUCACCGCCGGUCUUUUCACGACCUUGGGAAAGUGAUGACCUUGUAUCUGUUUAACAACAACCUGACCGUGCUCACGGGCGAAACCAUGGCUCCUCUGGUGUCCCUUCAGUACCUGCGCUUGAAUGGCAACCAGUGGAUCUGUGACUGCCAGGCUCGGUCUCUCUGGAAUUGGUUUAAGCAGUUUAAAGGAUCAUCUUCAGAGCUAGAGUGCCACCUUCCCCCCCGCUUGGCAGGGAGAGACCUCAAAAGGCUGCAGAGCACCGACUUGGAAGGGUGUGUCGACUCCUUCAACCAGAUACGAACAAGCGUUUUUAGCACUAAGACCAGAUCUGGCAAACUGCCAACCGGGGUCCCCCCUCUCGGUUCCCACGACGGUUCCCUGAAAUGCUGCCAGCCAGAAACGGAUAAGUCUUUUAUUUAUGAAGCUAAAGGCAAGGCGGGUCCUUCUUCCCACAGCAGCCGGCCAUCCUCCAACAACCCUCUCAAGGAUAAGGAGAACAUGUCCAAAACCAAGUAUGUUGAGACGGACCCUUCCAAAAAUGGCAGCAACAAGCAGAUAAACGAUUCCCCCUUUGGGACCUUCCCCAGCAUUGUAGACCCUCCAUUGACCAAGUUGAAACCAGAAUUUCUAGAGCCUAUUGAACCUUCCACAGUCCCAACCAAAAAGAGGCAGGGCUGCUCUAAAAAGAACAAAUCAAAGGCCCAGUGCCGCCUCACCCAGCAAGGGAACAGCUCCACGUUACAGCUCAGCCUAAGCCUUUUGAUCCCCCCCUUGGUGUGGAGCUUACUGUUAUUCUGCUAAAAUUAACUCUUUUCCUGGGUUGAUGACACUUUAAUACUAGACUUUUGCUGACCUCCAUAAAAGUUGCAAACAAAAGCAAAACUACUGUCCACCCUGAGAAAGCUUUGUUACACAAAAGUUAACUGGAUGCCUUUAUAAAAAACAAACAAACAAACAAACAAACAAACAAACAAACAAAAAAGACAAACACCAAGAUGUACAUAAUUUAUUGUCCUGAAACCUGUGAAUUAUACCUUUGGUCUUCGGAACUGCAUUUGCCCACAAAGCAGCUUUUGCUACAGCAGAUGGAGUGUUUCUGGAAAUGGCAGCUCACCAGAGGGGUUCAAUAUCAAGGUCCUCUGGACUCCACGUGGAUAACAUCAAGACUGGCAGAAUGGCAUAUACAGAUAAAAGCAAGGAGCUUUCCAGACUUAGCUGAAUUCCUGGAUGAGUGGGGCUGCUCAAUUAAAAUGUGUUUUUGCACUGGCAGAUGAGUGUUAGCAGUUUUGGUGCAGGGCAGACGCAAGCUGCUGAAGGCAUCAGCUCCGACAGAGAUCUGCAGAAGGGAAUGACAAGACACUGACCCAGCCCCAUGGGAGCAGGUCAGCAUCCAGCACAACCCAGCUCUUGGUUGCUUCAUUUGGAGUGGUAUCAAGGACUGCAACACCCACUGGAGUUAAAGCUUCGGUCUCAGCUUGGCUGCACCCAUUGGGGCAGUUAGAGAAGUAGCCUCGGAGGCUUUUGGACAGUCUAUUUUGUGUCAGGUCUCUUGCAUUUAGAUCAUUUCAUUUUUAUACCCAAGCAAGAAUUUCCCUGGCUGAAGCUGUGUACUGGGGCACCCAGGUCCCCUGCAAGUUUACAGGUGUGUCUUAAACCUGAUUCUGCACUGGGGGAGGUUAUAAAUGUCCUGGGAGGGAGUUUAUAUGCCAUCAGGCACAACUUGCUUAGCUCUGAGGUUGGAGCUGGAUCUCAACUCUGCCUGAUCAGCACAUGGAUGGAAAGAAACUGUCAUGGAUGCAGGUCUUCAGCACAAGCAGGUACCAGGUGGCUGUCUGAAAAGGAGAUGGUGCAAGUGCCUCUGAAAGAGAAACUUUAGCAGCAAUGUCAUGUUUUACAGGAACUGUCCAUGAAGACCUUAGAGGCAAUGUAACCUCCUUUAUGUACUGAGAUGCAGGAGGAACGGAGUCUGUCUCCAGCCACUGCCACGCAGGUUGCUUAAUAAAACAAGUGUGCAAGACCUUUUGCAAGCUAUCAAGAUAAAUAAAGGGAGCUGAGACCAGAGGAGAGGAAGGUGAAAAUGCUGUCACUGGGACACCAGUACUGGACUGACUUCAGAGGCAAAGCUCUGCAAGAAGGCUUUUCUCCGUGAUCUGUGCAAAACUAAUGAUACAGCUAAAAAGGGAGCUGAAAUGUUUUAUGAAUCCCGAGAUCAGAAGAAAGAUAAGCAGAUGUAAACAUCUCAAAUUCCUACAGAAGGGGGAUUUUUUCCGAAGGUGAUGAAGAGAAAAGAAGAAUCUUACCAGAAGCACUGAAGCUGAUUGGGGGUGAGACAGCAGCCCCAAGCCUCCUGAGAUAGGGAGAUUUAUUUAGAAGACAACUACAGGCAAAUAUGUUUGGGUUUUUUUUUUUUUUUUUUCCCUUGCUUUUUGAUGAGGAAUACUGCUGGAAUCAGCUCAAGGGAGAGAAGCUUUGAUCAUGCUUUCGUGGCACAAGAAAAGCUGCUUUGAGUUCUGGCACAAACCAAAUCCCAGGAGGGACUGUGUGCAUGAUGUUCACACUGGUGUAGAGGCCCCUGUUCAGAUGGUGGGACUGUCCAGGGCCAGUGACCAUCCCCUCUUCACAUCCCCCACUUAAAAUAGAUAUGUAUGGGCAAUGGAGCACUGAUAUCCUCACAGUGCUGCUGAUGAGCUGAGAACUUAAAGGUAGCUACCCAAAUCUGAGCUGCUCCUUGCAGAAGAACCCAGAGCACCAGGGAUUUCCAGCAGACAACCCAUAUGAACCACCUUAAUACUCAUUUUAAGAUAAAAAUAGCCGGGUGCCAAAGUUAGCAUGGAGGGACCCAAGGUCAAACUGCAAAUACCAGCUAGUGUUGUAAGGACCAAGACUUCCUCCAGCUGUGCUUCUGGGGCUGCAUGGUAAAACCGCCGUGCAGAUAAGGUGCUCAGUGUGGUGUGGGAAAGAAAUAUAAAGGGGGGUCAGAUUCGUGGCAGGAGCUGUUAAACCUAUUUCUGCUAAGCAUGCCAACAAAAGUAGUAAUAUCAGCAAAUGUCUAAGAAGAAUAUAUCUUCUGUGUUGAGGUAGGUCAUAAAUGGGCUUCACCCAGGAAAAUUGCCAUUAGGAUUUUUAAAUAGUGACGUUAGAUCUGCUAGAGAACAGAAAAGAUCCAUAUCCAGUGCCACAGGAAUGUGAUAAAAGCAGUAUGUGUGGAUCUGGCUAGAUUUGUCCUACACUCAGAAGCAAGCGUAUUUGUCUAGAUGGUGUUAAUUGGACUAACAUGAAAAAAAUUCCAAAACUAUCUUUUUUUUUUUUUUUUUUUUUUUUUUUUUUUUAUUCAGGAAACAGUUUUUCUCUUAAUGAAAUUGCUUUUCAAGGAGUGACACCAAUUUUCAAUUACUGUUUUAAUUCCCUGCUUCUAUUUUUAAACAGAAUGUUUGAGAAACAAAAUUUCUUUGCAAAACUUUGAAAGUGCAUUUAAUAGAGUGUGUGGAUUUUUCUUCUCUUUGGGUACUGAAAAACCUGUGAGAAUGGAGAGAACUCAACUUCUCCUAUGUGGAUAUUGGCUUCCCAGCUCAUGCCAUCUGAUAAAAUCAAAGCAUUUCCAAGGGUAAUUUUCUCUAUGAAAUCAUGAAUAAUUAAAACCAAAGCUUUGCCUUUUAAAAAUGAGAAGUUCUCCUCCACUUGCCCAUGUUUUUGAACUGGACAAAGAUCAAAUGAGAGGGAAAAAUCACAAACUGUGAGUGGGAAAAUGAAAUCUUCAUGUGAAAGUAAUCACAAAGAGAUUUAUUUUCUUCCUGAAAAUACAGUAAUUGAAAAAACAAUCAGAGACCUCCUCUGUUUUCUUACGUGUUUCAGUAUUAUUUCCCUGAGUCAUUUUGGAAGAUUUUUCUCAGACUAGUGAUGGAGACAAACCAAGUUAAAUUUAUUCCCAACACCUGUACAAGUGGCAAAGAGCUGUCGGUUCCAUGAUAGGCACCUGAGAUAAUUGCUACGGCAUCUUUUCUUUUCAGCAAAAGCCUGCCCUGGCACUGCAGCUUUCGUCAUUAAAGCACAUCUAUUUCCCCCAGUGUGAUUAAACCCCUGGAAGGGUGGCCCGAGUGGAAGCCGUGCAGCAGACCCGUGGCCGGGCGGCACAGGCAGCUCCGGGCGCACCCCGCACCCUUCCAUCCGGCGCUCGAGCCGGCUGGGCUAGACCACAAACUUCUUCCUCCUCACCCUCACACGACACCCCGUUGUGUCGCUGGUCGCAGGCUCGACUUGCACCGUGGAGGUGUGAGAAGAGAAGAAAGCGUGGACGCGGCAGGGAGUCCAAGGAACGCAGCCUCGCAGGUGCUGGGGGCUCAUCCCCCAGCUGGCUCUACCCUCUGCCUCCAAAAUCAGCUCUUCCACACGUAACCUGCUGCGUUUCCAACAGCUGCUCAGACCCGCCGUGUCCCCGCGGCUUUACCCUUCAAAGCACCCAGGCCUUGCACUUGGCUGCCGCCUUUGUUCUCUCUUCAUCUCCCCUUUACCGUCUACCGCUCCCGUUUGUAGCCAGACAGCACUUCCAGCCCAACAAUUAACAGUUGCAAUUAAGAGUUGCACAGGUAGGUGUUUCCCCUCUGAAGGGACCUGAUGUUUUUCCAUGCUGAGCAUGAGAGAGAUUCCCACCGAGGGAGCUAAUUUGCGCUGCUUAGUAAAUGCAGCUAAAUAUUGUCCUUGCAGUAAUCUGGCUAGUUAAGACUAAAAAGUUGCAAAGUAUUAAGUCAGGUUUUUUCAUCUUUUUACUGACAAUCCCAAAUUCCUGUCAAAAACUAAAGUACAUGAGUUUUAAGUGAUUGUUGUAGUCUGUGCUCUUCAGAGCUGCUAAGCAGUUUAGAAAGCCAGGUAAACAAUGAGGAAAAGCAGUAGUUACCCAGCAAAGAAUUUUUGUCCCCCAUCUAUUUUAAGGAAAGUGUUGCUACUUGAAAGGUAGGAUAUUAGGGUUGUCCACAGAAUACAGCCACAAAAGUAAUACUGCUGUGUAGAUGGUGCAUCAAAAUGUUUCUGUUGAGCUCUCAAAUCCUUUAGUGAAUGAUAAAAUGGUAGAAUCUGGGAAAUAAUGGGAAAAGAGGAUCUGGGCCUGAAUGGAAAAAAAAUGUCUGCAGAAAUCAAAACAAACAACCAGUGACACGGAAUAUUUUCACUGACUUUUAGCUCCUGAAUUCAGACAUGCUGCUGGUGUCCAGAAAUAGCAUUUUAUGUCUUGUGCAGUGAAUGCCAGUAUGAAAUUAACAGUGAAAACAUGUAUUUUACAAAUAAGACUGUGUCUCGGAAUCUGCAGGGGAAAAUAUGUUUAGAUCCUACUCUGCUUGUUGCUAAAAGUGAUCUAAUGUUGCAAGCGAAACAAGAAAAGCCUCCAACAAUGUCUGUCUGGUGAUGAGAAAUGAUUAAUAUAAUCCCUGCUGGAAUAGCUUCGUAGGCAUCCCCAGGACAGCUGGAUGGAUUGUACACUAUACAGAGAUGCAGCACUGUGCAAAUAAAACAAUGAAGAAAUAA